CCUACGGGGGGCAGCAGUGGGGAAUAUUGGACAAUGGGGGCAACCCUGAUCCAGCCAUGCCGCGUGUGUGAAGAAGGCCCUCGGGUUGUAAAGCACUUUCAGUGAGGAAGAACGCCUGGUGGUUAAUACCCAUCAGGAAAGACAUCACUCACAGAAGAAGCACCGGCUAACUCCGUGCCAGCAGCCGCGGUAAUACGGAGGGUGCGAGCGUUAAUCGGAAUUACUGGGCGUAAAGCGCGCGUAGGUGGCUUGAUAAGCCGGUUGUGAAAGCCCCGGGCUCAACCUGGGAACGGCAUCCGGAACUGUCAAGCUAGAGUGCAGGAGAGGAAGGUAGAAUUCCCGGUGUAGCGGUGAAAUGCGUAGAGAUCGGGAGGAAUACCAGUGGCGAAGGCGGCCUACUGGACUGAAACUGACACUGAGGUGCGAAAGCGUGGGUAGCAAACAGGAUUAGAUACCCUUGUAGUC
rnacentral:rRNA from 1 species